rnacentral:tRNA from 4 species
GCCACCUUAGCUCAGUUGGUAGAGCACGGCUUUCGUAAAGCCGGGGUCCGCAGUUCGAUCCUGCGAGGUGGCUCUA